CAUCAUACAACUUCUGAGAUAAAUACCUGCAGUCCACAGCUACCUUACAAUCCAAAACUCAUACUUAUCCCAUUUAGGCUUAAUAUAUCAUGCAAGGGUUCAAUAAUUCACCUUGUAAACUAAUUAAUUAAUUAAUGAGAAAAGUCUGGGUUCUCAGAUCUACAGAACAAUGAACAACAUGCAUCAAGAACACUUUGACUUAUGAAACACCCUCUACUUAUAGCCUUAUUUUCUAAACAAUUCUUUUUGUAGAUUAAUUGAUAACAAGCUUAUUAACUUACUGACUCAUGAUUUAACUGUCACAUUUACAAACAUGCUGACUGAAACUGAAUAUGAGCAUAUCAGAAGUUCAAUGCAAGAUUGCACAUACAAUGUGUUCCAAUCUGGGUUUGAACUGACAAAUGUUCAUGGCCAUUUUCAAACAGUAUUUCUGGAAAUGUGACAGGUAAAUCAUAAGUCAGUAAAUUAAUAAGCUGGUUAUCAAUGAGCACACAACACUUAUAUUUUAAAAGCAUAAAUAACAGACUGUACUCCACUUUAUAUGACCUACUGGAAUAAAUUAAAAAAAAAAAUGGUGCCCAUCUCUUGCAUCAACGGUACACUACCAUCCCCAGUUGAUGAAUAAUACUGCAUUUAAUUUCAUAAUUCAUGCCAAUGUGCAUUCCAAAACCUCAUUUAUAUUGCAUCCUUAGAAACAAAAUAAAUUGUCAUAUAUUCCAAUCAUAAAUAUGAAAAAAUUACAUCAAAACAUUUUGUCACCAAAGUCUCAAGGGAACAGCUGCAAAUAUAAAAUUCAAAGCAAACAUGAAGACAGUAUUAUUUAACAAGGUUUGAUACCUUCUUCCAGCCAUGUGAAUUCAAAAAUUAGAUGGUGAACACUGCCACGAGGAAAUGUGAUUGCAACAUCAUGAAGAUUGAAUUCAUAUAUAAAGGGCUUUAAAUCUUAUAAGAAAGCUUCUUUUUUAUUAUCAAUUAAUCUAGUGCAGGUACUAUUCAGAAUUCUUGAGAAAAUAUUUCACUUUCAUGGAUAAGUCAAUUACUUAUAUUUUCUAUGACAUUAUUUCAUAAAUCUUUGUGUAACUCACAUGUCCAAGCCCAUUCACAAGAUUAAGAAAUGCAUGAUUAAUGCAAUGAAAUGCAGUAUUCUAAUUAAUAAGACUAAGAGCCUUAAAAAGGAUUGAGUGAUUUUUGAUUUUAUACAACAAUGAACAAUGUGAUUCUUAGGAUACUGAAAUCUAUGAAGCUGAGAUGGCCCCACAUGCUGCUAGGAUGAGGGAGAUAAAUGCAUACAUAAGUUUUUCUAGGGAAAUAUCUACUAGAAAGAAUGACAGAGGGAUGAGGGGAUAACAUUAUGUUGGAUCUUAAAAGGGAAAUACCUGUAGGCUGUCAAGAAGAGAAGCAGAUGGAAUUGGCUUGGGACUGUGUGAAAUGGCAGGCUCUGAUAUCACCAGCAUUAAACCUUCAUAAAUUGGUUCUGCAUCACAGCCACAAGAGGGUCAGUAUGGGUUUUAUAACUUUAGUAUUUUCUUUCUCUACCAGUACCGAAAACAAUGAACAGCUGAGUGUUUCACAGAAGUGAAAGCAUAUACAUCAUGAAGUCUCUACUGUGUACACAGUAGCUACAUCUACAGUGCUGUGAUGAUGCUAUGAAAGUAUUAGCUUCAGGAAUGUCCAUGCAUAACUAGUCUACGGAUUCUAGUUCUGAAAUCUUCCUAAGCACAUGACAGAGACUGAGGCCCACCACAU